GGUGCCUAUUAUCCUUAUAUCAAAUUUCGGGUUUUUCCCAUUUGACACUAAAUAAACGUGGAUGAAACACGAGUUAUAUUUUACUCAAUCAUUAUAAUAGAUAUAAAGUUAGAGAAUGCUGCAGCUGAGAACUUUAUAAGCAUUACAAGAUGAAAUCGAAACGAACAGGAAUGAAAUUUCUAUUGCCACCGUUGAAAUCUGACCAAUCUCGGCUACGCUCUUUGUUCUCUGUUUGCAUUUAACAUUUACGUCAUAACCAAGGCCUUUCUCGACGCUUAUCAUAUUGACACAGAUGAACACCUAAUCCUUCAAUUUAGACCAUCCUUUUCAAUUUCUGAAGACAGAAAUGAUUAAAUUCUCACAUGUCCAACAAGUUACAUUACAGUCUUCGUAUGUAAAUACAUGUAUAUAUACAAAAUACGAUUACUCUCUACCUAUUUCACGAAUGAAUAAUCUGGCACUCGCUGGAAACGCUGAUAGCGAUUUCAUGCCGCCUAUUUGCACAUUAUUCCCCUCUGUAAAUUAUAUGCCGCCGAGCAGCGUGCUUUUGCUGUAAUUCGGUUACUAAAGACAGGACAAUUUAGACCUCCGAAAUGGCAAUUACAUGAAAAAUUUUAUAGAUUACAACAGAAGAAAACGGUGACCUUGUCUCACCGAUGUUAUGUUGAAUUAAAGUUUUUAUUACAAAUGACUUUUAUAUAAUUUUAGUAAACGCAAAGAUUAGUUUAAUCACAGACAACAUUUUUAUUACAAUUUCUAUUUCCUCUUGAGAAAUGUCCAACUAUAACAGAGUUAUAUAUAGUACAAUUACUUAACAACGAAAAUAUCUCAUGAUAUUUAAUACAUUAUUACUUAGUUUAAAACAAUUAAUUAAGACCUGUAUAUCUAGUUCUUGUGUUCAUAAUUAACUUUAGAGUCAAGAUUUGUUUUGA